rnacentral:rRNA from 1 species
AGUGAACGCUGGCGGUAGGCCUAACACAUGCAAGUCGAACGGCAGCACAGGAGCUCUUGCUCUCUGGGUGGCGAGUGGCGGACGGGUGAGGAAUACAUCGGAAUCUGCCCAGUCGUGGGGGAUAACGUAGGGAAACUUACGCUAAUACCGCAUACGACCUUCGGGUGAAAGAGGGGGAUCGCAAGACCUCUCGCGAUUGGAUUAGCCGAUGUCGGAUUAGCUAGUUGGCGGGGUAAUGGCCCACCAAGGCGACGAUCCGUAGCUGGUCUGAGAGGAUGAUCAGCCACACUGGAACUGAGACACGGUCCAGACUCCUACGGGAGGCAGCAGUGGGGAAUAUUGGACAAUGGGCGCAAGCCUGAUCCAGCCAUACCGCGUGGGUGAAGAAGGCCUUCGGGUUGUAAAGCCCUUUUGUUGGGAAAGAAAUCUUUCAGGCUAAUACCCUGGGAGGAUGACGGUACCCAAAGAAUAAGCACCGGCUAACUUCGUG